AAGUUGUAACAAAGUCUCCGUUAGUAAACCAGCGGAAGGAUUAUUAUAGAGUUGCAAAACUCCUAUCACCAUUGCGAACUUACCUUACACCCGUUGCUUUAGCAGGCAGCCCUAGGCUUCUGUUUUCACAGAUCCUUAGGGCUCUAUAGCCUAAUUGUCAGGUGCCUGCCAGAGGUCAUGCAACUAGACAUUGUUUAUAGCCUGUUAGAAUUUAUACUACCAAUUAGUCAAAACUUUCAACAACAGAUCUCUUAGUUCUA
rnacentral:misc_RNA from 1 species